UUUUAGUGGCCUUCAGAGUUCAAAGACUGACCAUACCUCCUUCUGAAAGCGCCAUGCAGGACUCUGAGACUCUGCUCAAACUUCUCUGCUGUGUAGGUAUCAUGCAGCAAAUGACCUUAGUAAUGAGUGACCUGACUGGAGAUGACCCUGACUGUCCUGAUCACAAAUCCCACUGUAUCCAGAAGUCACAGGAAGAAGACAAGUCUGUUGCGACAACGGAUGUAGAAGAUAAAAAUAAAACAGUGAAGAUUGACACAGAAAGAAGCAUUCAUCAGUGCCCACAUAUGAUGUCAUUUCCUUUAUCACCUGUAGAUUUAAGCAGGCCACAUUCACAGACACCAGCAAAUGGAUCUUUGGAAAGACUAUCUAAA